UACGUAGGGUGCAAGCGUUAAUUGGAAUUACUGGGCGUAAAGGGUGCGUAGGCGGUUCGUUAAGUCUGUCGUGAAAUCCCCGGGCUCAACCUGGGAAUGGCGAUGGAUACUGGCGAGCUAGAGUGUGUCAGAGGAUGGUGGAAUUCCCGGUGUAGCGGUGAAAUGCGUAGAGAUCGGGAGGAACAUCAGUGGCGAAGGCGGCCAUCUGGGACAACACUGACGCUGAAGCACGAAAGCGUGGGGAGCAAACAGG
rnacentral:rRNA from 1 species